UAUCUCGUUCCGUCGUCCGUAGGUCGGUUUAGCCAAUGCGACAACGGCAGCCGGAACGAUCUG
rnacentral:pre_miRNA from 1 species